AGAGCUGGGAAGGAGGCUCUAGAUGGCGGCUGUGCCUUAGAGAGAGCGCGCUCAGCUCCCUGCCUUCGCCUCACUUUACGCAACUUUCCCUAACUUUCGGGCAGCCUCAGGGGGCCCCCGCAGCCCCCUGCCUCUCCUAGUGACUUACUGGGGUCGAUUCGAACCUUUUUUAGGGAGAAAAGCAGCUUUUGGGAGCUUUCUUUUCGUGCCUUGUUGGAAAGAAGCAGCCGUACUGAGAGCCCAGGUCGUUGUUUUUUCCAGCUUAGAAGCCAUGGCGCACCUCCAUUUUUGUGCGCUCUCCUAAUGAGGUUUUUUUUCUUCCGGACCCGUUUCAGGAUUAAUUGUUGCUUUAUUUUUUUGAACAGUUAACAUAUUUGAGGAUUAUAUUAUUUAUUUUUUGCUUUUUAGCGGAGAAUUUUGUUUUUAUUUUUAAUUAUUUGGGAUCUGAUAUUUUUCUACUACUAGAUAGGACUCUUGCUUUGGACCUACUACAUGGAUCAGUAAAUACCUGGGCACAGGACUUCAAAGCAAACACAGAUUCCCCCUCCCCCUUAAUAUUUAAGACUUAAAAGAUGAUGAGAAAUAAGGACAAAAGCCAAGAGGAGGACAGUUCGCUACACAGCAAUGCAUCGAGAGUCGUCUGGAAUGCUUUAUCUUCUGAAGCUUACAAAUGUUACUGUUUGUUCAAAUCAUGAUUUGUUUCACAUUUGUUGGAGUUCACCAUAUUAGUGACUAAGUAAUAAAGCCUCUAAGAUAUCUUGUUGUAUGAAAAUCCUCUAAGAUGUUUUGUUGUAUAAUCUGUAUAUUAAUUUUCUAAAGUAUGUAUGAAUACAUUUCUUGAUGUGUAUUCUAUGAACUGUCACAUUACAGAUUUUAAAUUAAUGCAUUUAACAAGAACUUGAUUGGUUUAUAUGAAUUUUUUCCCUCCCCAGUUUGCUUUUACUUUUACAAUUUUUUAUAAACAAUACAUAUUACUAGGUUAGUGAUAUGAAAGUUUUGAACAUGGUUUAUUUAUAAUGUUGAAUUCUUAUUUGUGUUAUAAGACUUAAAAUAUUUUCACCCUUGCUUUGAAAAAUACCUUUCCAAAUUCUUUUGCAAAUUGAAUUGUCACAUAGUUUGGAUUACUGUCUUUGAAAUUGAAUUACCCGUGUAAUUAUCUAGGCAAGAUUUAGGACAGAAAACUCGUGAUUCUAAACUGAUUUUUCUGAAAAGUGAUGGUGACUUGAAGAAAUAGGAAUCCCCAGAAAUCUUUGACAAAUUAUUAAAGAUUCAAUACCUAAAA
rnacentral:lncRNA from 1 species